ACAGAUGCUCAUGGGAAGGGUGUGAGUGGCGUUUUGCAAGAAGUGAUGAGUUAACCAGGCACUUCCGAAAGCACACCGGGGCCAAGCCUUUUAAAUGCUCCCACUGUGACAGGUGUUUUUCUAGGUCUGACCACCUGGCCCUGCACAUGAAGAGGCACCUCUGAGGGAGCAGAGAGGUGGAUCCUGUAGGCUAAAAGGCUUCCAGGCUGAGAGCCGGCCGUGGAAGGAGGGAUGCGUGUUCCAGCCAAAGCAUGCCGUUCUGCACCCUACCCAGUUGCCUCCAGGGCCUCUCCUUGGAAGGUCUUUUGAGGGCUAAAAAAGUCCUGUAAGAAGCGGCAUAGCACCCGUGGUGCAUGCCUGUCCGGGGAGCUGGAGAGGAUGUCAGCGAGCCUGACAUUGCCCUCCCUGAAUGCAUCAAAUGCUCUUCUCCAAGGACUGACAAAAACAACCCCUGGGCUGUGGGCACAGUAGGGAACCAUGCCGGAUUUUAUCUUGCAUUGCUCAAGCCAGGGAAUACAUCUGCACAACGACAAACUUGAGUGGUUCCCUGCCACUUCUGUGCCUCCACAGCCUGCUCCAGUUCUGCAGCUGCAGCUGGGCCUACCAUCCCCAGCCAGACCUGCCACACACCUGGCUGAGGCGUGUCUGGGAGGGGUGGAGGAGGCAGAGGGACUCCAGGCCAGAGGGCUGUUCUCACCUCACUCCACUGGCAGUCAAGGAGGGCAGAAAAUAAAAGACGACAUCAUUGCCA
rnacentral:sRNA from 1 species